UACGGGGGGGAGCAAGCGUUGUUCGGAUUUACUGGGCGUAAAGGGCGCGUAGGCGGUCAGCACAAGUCAGUUGUGAAAUCUCCGGGCUUAACUCGGAAAGGUCAACUGAUACUGUGCGACUAGAGUGCGGAAGGGGCAACUGGAAUUCUCGGUGUAGCGGUGAAAUGCGUAGAUAUCGAGAGGGAACACCUGCGGCGAAGGCGGGUUGCUGGGCCGACACUGACGCUGAUGCGCGAAAGCCAGGGGAGCGAACGGG
rnacentral:rRNA from 1 species